rnacentral:rRNA from 1 species
UACGAAGGGUGCAAGCGUUACUCGGAAUUACUGGGCGUAAAGCGUGCGUAGGUGGUUCGUUAAGUCUGAUGUGAAAGCCCUGGGCUCAACCUGGGAAUGGCAUUGGAAACUGGCGACCUAGAGUGCGGUAGAGGGUAGUGGAAUUCCCGGUGUAGCAGUGAAAUGCGUAGAGAUGCGGAGGAACACCGAUGGCGAAGGCAGCCCCCUGGGCUGACACUGACGCUCAGGCACGAAAGCGUGGGGAGCAAACAGG